rnacentral:snRNA from 1 species
UCACUUACCUGGCAGUGGAGACACCAUGAUCAGGAAGGUGGUUUUCCAGGGUGAAGCUCAUCCAUUGCACUCGGGAUGUGCUGAUCCCUGCGAUUUCCCCAAAUGCGGGAAACUUGCCUGCAUAAUUUGUGGUAGUGGGGGACUGCGUUCACGCUCGCCCUUA